rnacentral:rRNA from 1 species
UGGGGAAUCUUGCGCAAUGCGCGAAAGCGUGACGCAGCAACGCCGCGUGGGGGAAGACGGCUUUCGAGUUGUAAACCCCUUUCAGUUGGGACGAAGCUUCGUCGGUUAAUAGCCGACUGGAGUGACGGUACCUUCAGAAGAAGCCCCGGCUAACUACGUGCCAGCAGCCGCGGUAAUACGUAGGGGGCAAGCGUUGUCCGGAAUCAUUGGGCGUAAAGAGCGUGUAGGUGGCCCGAUAAGUCUGCCGUG